rnacentral:ncRNA from 17 species
AGUGAAGGUAGAGGUGCAAACUUCAUCAGUAAAAGCUUGGAGAAAGAUGAGUUUCCGUGAAAAGCUUUGAAAGGGAAUGUUUGCCGAAGAAAAGGAAGUCUCAUUUCUUUCUUUUCUGGUCCUGUAUUGAAUAAAUACUGGAUUGUCAAGACAGCGCCGUCUUGGAGAGCUAUCUCACUG